rnacentral:rRNA from 1 species
AUGCAAGGAAGCAGGAGUGUGUCUUUAGGAGGCUUUAGGCGUUCCUACUCACCUGCCCCCUCUGGUGACAACAAUGGAAACGACAAUAAUCCAUGGUGUAUCCGGUCUCCUUCACCAUCUCUCAGUGCUGGUUCGAUCGACUCUCGCAUGGGAGUGUUUCCUCUUCAACACAAUGAACCUUCAGGCACAUUUCAGGAUAAAGGCAAUCUUGGUUCCACUCGAGGGGGAAACACACUGAAUCUUGAGGAAGAUCAACAGGGGGAGUCUAUGGAUCAUGAUUGGGCAGCGACGCAUGGCCCUAACGCGCCUCGGGUGCCACGAGGCUCAUCGCAUGGAACUGCCGAGGGAUGGGGCGAGGCUUCGGCAAUGAAAGGAUGA